AACGAACGCUGGCGGCGUGGAUAAGACAUGCAAGUCGAACGAUUAUCAUCGGGUAGCAAUAUUCGGUGGUGAGAGUGGCGCAAGGGUGCGUAACACGUGGGUAAUUUGCCGUGAAGUCUGGAAUAACUUGCUGAAAGGCGAGCUAAUACCGGAUGUGAUUGCUGGGGGGCAUCCUCUGGCACUUAAAGUCGGGGACCGCAAGGCCUGACGCUUCUCGAUAAGCCCGCGGCCUAUCAGCUAGUUGGUGAGGUAACGGCUUACCAAGGCUAAGACGGGUAGCUGGUCUGAGAGGACGACCAGCCACACUGGAACUGAGACACGGUCCAGACACCUACGGGUGGCAGCAGUCGAGAAUUUUUCUCAAUGGGGGAAACCCUGAAGGAGCGACGCCGCGUGGGGGAUGAAUGGCUUCGGCCCGUAAACCCCUGUCAUUUGCGAUCAAACCUUACGACCUAAUACGUCGUAAGCUGAUAGUAGCGGAAGAGGAAGGGACGGCUAACUCUGUGC
rnacentral:rRNA from 1 species